rnacentral:tRNA from 1 species
GCCUGCAUGAGAUAGCUCAGGUGGUAGAGCAUGAGACUCUUAAUCUCAAGGUUGUGGGUUCGAGCUCCACGUUGGGUG